rnacentral:rRNA from 1 species
AGAGUUUGAUCCUGGCUCAGAACGAACGCUGGCGGCAGGCUUAACACAUGCAAGUCGAACGCAUCCUUCGGGGUGAGUGGCAGACGGGUGAGUAACGCGUGGGAACGUGCCCUUCAGUUCGGGAUAACCCAGGGAAACUUGGGCUAAUACCGGAUACGUGCGAGAGCAGAAAGAUUUAUCGCUGAAGGAUCGGCCCGCGUCUGAUUAGCUAGUUGGUGAGGUAAUGGCUCACCAAGGCGACGAUCAGUAGCUGGUCUGAGAGGAUGAUCAGCCACAUUGGGACUGAGACACGGCCCAAACUCCUACGGGAGGCAGCAGUGGGGAAUAUUGGACAAUGGGCGCAAGCCUGAUCCAGCCAUGCCGCGUGAGUGAUGAAGGCCUUAGGGUUGUAAAGCUCUUUCGUCCGGGACGAUAAUGACGGUACCGGAAGAAGAAGCCCCGGCUAACUUCGUGCCAGCAGCCGCGGUAAUACGAAGGGGGCUAGCGUUGUUCGGAAUCACUGGGCGUAAAGGGCGCGUAGGCGGCUUUAUAAGUCGGGGGUGAAAGCCUGUGGCUCAACCACAGAAUUGCCUUCGAUACUGUAGAGCUUGAGACCGGAAGAGGUAAGUGGAACUGCGAGUGUAGAGGUGAAAUUCGUAGAUAUUCGCAAGAACACCAGUGGCGAAGGCGGCUUACUGGUCCGGUUCUGACGCUGAGGCGCGAAAGCGUGGNNAGCAAACAGGAUUAGAUACCCNNGUAGUCC